AGUGAAAAGCUGCACUAGAGUUCUCCUUUAUUAUUGUUUUAUUCUCUUUCUUUCUUAUCUCCUUCUUCUCGUUCUCAGUCUCCUCAAGGUCGUGUUCCUAAUAAGUUACAUUUCCUGUAACUAAAGUUGCUUGCUAAAAAAUUUCACUAUCUGCUAAUUGGCUAACUAUGUACCCUGGGAAGAAAUGUGUAAAAUCAAAACAAUGAUAUCACCUUUUAGAUGUGUCCACAUUUUUAUUGGUCAAUGUAAAUACGCUUUUUGCUCAUGGCCACAUUUUAAUUGGUCAAUGUAAAAACUCCCUUUUGCCCUUUUUAUACUGAUGCUUAAUGCAAUAAAGUCAGAGUGUGUUCGCCAUACUUGUCUGUUAUCUUUUCCUAUGAGGGAUACACUCUCCUGGUACCAGAGAAGGUGACACAAACCAAGGUAGAACUAGACAUUAUAUGCCAGGGGUAUAUAGUGAGGAGUUGCAGAUCCUUUCAGCUGGGGGCUCGAUCCAUGGUCGAGAAGGUUAACCCCUAAAGGUCCGGUAAGAUCGACUCUAUUGUCUGUUUUCCCGGGAUCAAGGGCUCUGUCCAAAAUCUCGAUUCUGUAAAGUUAUUGUGCAUCAGGGAUGCAAAAUUACCUGUGUGUCAGGGACCACAGCGUGUUGUGUGUCAGGGACACAUGCUAAUGUUAACUAUUUAGUGUGCCCGGGGUACAUCUAAGGUUAACUAUUUGUGUAUCAGGGAUACACGAUGUGUCAGGGACACGCGCUAAGGUUAACUGUUUUGUGUAUCAGGGAUACACGCAAGGGUUAAUUGAACCUAGGAUAGUAUAUAAUAUACUUAACAGGUUCUAGGAGACCCAAUUUUAUUCAGGACCUUGGUUUGUUGUACCCUUCAAUCUCUUUUUAGAAGUAUUAAGAUUAUUUGUUUGUCUGAGAAUCACUCUCGGGUGGUAAGUGUACGAGAGGGGCUCAGUGAUAUUUCAUAAGUUGGUGUUUUUGGUCUGGUGUGUGGUAAGUGGUAGGAGUAGAUUGUUGUAAAUUGCUUGUGAGGAUUAGAAAGAUUCUUGUCAGAAAUAGAGACUCAAUGUUUUGGUGAAAAAGCAUGUGAAGCAGCGUGAGGAAUGUAGGAUGAGC